CAGUGAGGAAUAUUGGUCAAUGGGCGGAAGCCUGAACCAGCCAAGUCGCGUGAGGGAAUAAGGCCCUACGGGUCGUAAACCUCUUUUGCCGGGGAGCAAGGGCGGGGACGUGUCCCGGCCCGGAGAGUACCCGGAGAAAAAGCAUCGGCUAACUCCGUGCC
rnacentral:rRNA from 1 species